rnacentral:rRNA from 1 species
CAAGUCGAGCGAACAGAUAAGGAGCUUGCUCCUUUGACGUUAGCGGCGGACGGGUGAGUAACACGUGGGUAACCUACCUAUAAGACUGGAAUAACUCCGGGAAACCGGGGCUAAUGCCGGAUAACAUUUAGAACCGCAUGGUUCUAAAGUGAAAGAUGGUUUUGCUAUCACUUAUAGAUGGACCCGCGCCGUAUUAGCUAGUUGGUAAGGUAAUGGCUUACCAAGGCAACGAUACGUAGCCGACCUGAGAGGGUGAUCGGCCACACUGGAACUGAGACACGGUCCAGACUCCUACGGGAGGCAGCAGUAGGGAAUCUUCCGCAAUGGGCGAAAGCCUGACGGAGCAACGCCGCGUGAGUGAUGAAGGGUUUCGGCUCGUAAAACUCUGUUAUUAGGGAAGAACAAACGUGUAAGUAACUGUGCACGUCUUGACGGUACCUAAUCAGAAAGCCACGGCUAACUACGUGCCAGCAGCCGCGGUAAUACGUAGGUGGCAAGCGUUAUCCGGAAUUAUUGGGCGUAAAGCGCGCGUAGGCGGUUUCUUAAGUCUGAUGUGAAAGCCCACGGCUCAACCGUGGAGGGUCAUUGGAAACUGGGAGACUUGAGUGCAGAAGAGGAAAGUGGAAUUCCAUGUGUAGCGGUGAAAUGCGCAGAGAUAUGGAGGAACACCAGUGGCGAAGGCGACUUUCUGGUCUGUAACUGACGCUGAUGUGCGAAAGCGUGGGGAUCAAACAGGAUUAGAUACCCUGGUAGUCCACGCCGUAAACGAUGAGUGCUAAGUGUUAGGGGGUUUCCGCCCCUUAGUGCUGCAGCUAACGCAUUAAGCACUCCGCCUGGGGAGUACGACCGCAAGGUUGAAACUCAAAGGAAUUGACGGGGACCCGCACAAGCGGUG